rfam:Gossypium raimondii Chr09_contig_1133, whole genome shotgun sequence.
UCCAUUGGAUGCAUUUGGUAAGAUGGUCACGGGCUUCGAACUGCGGCCCGUGACAUAAGAACCUGCCCUUGGGAGGGGAACAACGGCUGGAAACGGUUGCUAAUACCCUGUAGGCUGAGGAGCAAAAGGAGGAAUCCGCCCGAGGAGGGGCUCGCGUCUGAUUAGCUAGUUGGUGAGGCAAUAGCUUACCAAGGCGAUGAUCAGUAGCUGGUCCGAGAGGAUGAUCAGCCACACUGCGACUGAGACACGGCCCAGACUUCUACGGGAGGCAGCAAUGGAAAAUUUUCCACAAUAGGCGAAAUUAUUAGUG